AACGAACGCUGGCGGCAUGCCUAACACAUGCAAGUCGAACGAGACGUUCGGGCUUGGUGGCUCACGGGGUCGUAACCCGGGGGAACAUGCGCUUGUGUUCGGAAUAACUCCCUGAAAGGGGUGCUAAUACCGGAUACUGUCUCCGGACCAAAGAUUUAUGGGCUUUGGGUGGUCGCGCGUUGGAUUAGGUGGUUGGUUGGGUAAAAGCCUAUCAAGGCGGCGAGUCAGAGAUGGUCUGAGAGAAUGCUCAGCCACUCUGCGACUGGGCAGCGGCCCAGGCUCCUCCGGAAGGGGGCAGAGGGGACUAUUGGACCAUGGGCGAAGGCCUGAUCCAGCAAGGCCGCGUAAGUGAUGAAGGUCUUAGGGUUGUAACGCUCUUUUACCCGGGCUGGUAAUGACGGUACCGGGAGAAUAAGCUCCGGCUAACUACGUG
rnacentral:rRNA from 1 species